CCUACGGGCGGCAGCAGUGGGGAAUAUUGGACAAUGGGCGAAAGCCUGAUCCAGCCAUGCCGCGUGUGUGAAGAAGGCCUUCGGGUUGUAAAGCACUUUCAGUGGGGAAGAAAGCCUUGGGGCUAAUACCCUCGAGGAAGGACAUCACCCACAGAAGAAGCACCGGCUAACUCCGUGCCAGCAGCCGCGGUAAUACGGAGGGUGCGAGCGUUAAUCGGAAUUACUGGGCGUAAAGCGCGCGUAGGCGGUCUGAUAAGCCGGUUGUGAAAGCCCCGGGCUCAACCUGGGAACGGCAUCCAGAACUGUCAGGCUAGAGUGCAGGAGAGGAAGGUAGAAUUCCCGGUGUAGCGGUGAAAUGCGUAGAGAUCGGGAGGAAUACCAGUGGCGAAGGCGGCCUUCUGGACUGACACUGACGCUGAGGUGCGAAAGCGUGGGUAGCAAACAGGAUUAGAUACCCGAGUAGUC
rnacentral:rRNA from 1 species